rnacentral:pre_miRNA from 1 species
UUUAAGUGCAACUAUAAGUUUCUAUACCAACCUUCGAUGGUUAUUUAUAUUUGAUUUUUUUUAAAUUAGUAUUUUUGUUAUUAUUAAAUGAUAAAAUAUAAAUAGUAUUUUAUUUGUAGCUAAUGUUUUUAAAUUUUUUAAAUAAAACGAACAAUCAAAGUUGGCUAUCGAAAAUCAUGGCAUCAUCGGGG